CUGCGAAAGCCGGAUUAAUACCGCAUACGCUCUAUGGAGGAAAGCGGGGGAUCUUCGGACCUCGCGCUCAAGGGGCGGCCGAUGGCGGAUUAGCUAGUUGGUGGGGUAAAGGCCUACCAAGGCGACGAUCCGUAGCUGGUCUGAGAGGACGACCAGCCACACUGGGACUGAGACACGGCCCAGACUCCUACGGGAGGCAGCAGUGGGGAAUUUUGGACAAUGGGGGCAACCCUGAUCCAGCAAUGCCGCGUGUGUGAAGAAGGCCUUCGGGUUGUAAAGCACUUUUGUCCGGAAAGAAAACGGCCUGGUUAAUACCCGGGUUGGAUGACGGUACCGGAAGAAUAAGCACCGGCUAACUACGUGCCAGCAGCCGCGGUAAUACGUAGGGUGCGAGCGUUAAUCGGAAUUACUGGGCGUAAAGCGUGCGCAGGCGGUUUGCUAAGACCGAUGUGAAAUCCCCGGGCUUAACCUGGGAACUGCAUUGGUGACUGGCGAGCUAGAGUAUGGCA
rnacentral:rRNA from 1 species